rnacentral:rRNA from 1 species
GAUGAACGCUGGCGGCGUGCCUAACACAUGCAAGUCGAGCGAUUCUCUUCGGAGAAGAGCGGCGGACGGGUGAGUAACGCGUGGGUAACCUGCCCUGUACACACGGAUAACAUACCGAAAGGUAUGCUAAUACGAGAUAAUAUACUUUUAUCGCAUGGUAGAAGUAUCAAAGCUCCGGCGGUACAGGAUGGACCCGCGUCUGAUUAGCUAGUUGGUAAGGUAACGGCUUACCAAGGCGACGAUCAGUAGCCGACCUGAGAGGGUGAUCGGCCACAUUGGAACUGAGACACGGUCCCAACUCCUACGGAGGCAGCAGUGGGGAAUAUUGCACAAUGGGCGAAAGCCUGAUGCAGCAACGCCGCGUGAGCGAUGAAGGCCUCGGUCGUAAG